rnacentral:rRNA from 1 species
AACGAACGCUGGCGGCAGGCUUAACACAUGCAAGUCGAACGCAUCCUUCGGGGUGAGUGGCAGACGGGUGAGCAACGCGUGGGAACGUGCCCUUCAGUUCGGGAUAACCCAGGGAAACUUGGGCUAAUACCGGAUACGUGCGAGAGCAGAAAGAUUUAUCGCUGAAGGAUCGGCCCGCGUCUGAUUAGCUAGUUGGUGGGGUAAUGGCCCACCAAGGCGACGAUCAGUAGCUGGUCUGAGAGGAUGAUCAGCCACAUUGGGACUGAGACACGGCCCAAACUCCUACGGGAGGCAGCAGUGGGGAAUAUUGGACAAUGGGCGCAAGCCUGAUCCAGCCAUGCCGCGUGAGUGAUGAAGGCCUUAGGGUUGUAAAGCUCUUUCGUCCGGGACGAUAAUGACGGUACCGGAAGAAGAAGCCCCGACUAACUUCGUGCCAGCCGCCGCGGUAA